rnacentral:tRNA from 1 species
GUAUUGGUGGUAUAGUGGUGAGCAUAGCUAUCUUCCAAGUGGUUGACCUAUGUUUGAUUCCCAGCCAAUACA